CCUACGGGAGGCAGCAGUGAGGAAUAUUGGUCAAUGGACGAGAGUCUGAACCAGCCAAGUAGCGUGAAGGAUGACUGCCCUAUGGGUUGUAAACUUCUUUUAUAUGGGAAUAAAAUGUUCCACGUGUGGGAUUUUGUAUGUAUCAUAUGAAUAAGGAUCGGCCAACUCCGUGCCAGCAGCCGCGGUAAUACGGAGGAUCCGAGCGUUAUCCGGAUUUAUUGGGUUUAAAGGGAGCGUAGGUGGAUUGUUAAGUCAGUUGUGAAAUGUUGCGGCUCAACCGUAAAAUUGCAGUUGAAACUGGCAGUCUUGAGUGCAGUAGAGGUGAGCGGAAUUCGUGGUGUAGCGGUGAAAUGCUUAGAUAUCACGAAGAACUCCGAUUGCGAAGGCAGUUCACUGGACUGCAACUGACACUGAGGCUCGAAAGUGUGGGUAUCAAACAGGAUUAGAUACCCGUGUAGUC
rnacentral:rRNA from 1 species